CGGUGCGAUCAUACCAGUGUUAAUGCACCGGAUCCCAUCAGGACUCCGCAGUUAAGCGCGCUUGGGCUAGAGUAGUACUGGGAUGGGUGACCUCCCGGGAAGUCCUAGUGUUGCACCCUC
rnacentral:rRNA from 1 species